rnacentral:rRNA from 1 species
AUAAUCAGUAGUUUUUUAAUUGAAAACUUGUAUGAAAGGUUUAACGAAAUAUUAACUGUUUCAAGUAAAUUUUUGUAGAAAUUAAUUUUUUAAUUAAAAAGUUAAAAUAAAAUUAAAAGACGAGAAGACCCUAUAGAAUUUUAUAUAAUUAUUAUUUAUAGUUUAUUUAUAAAAUUUAAAAUUUAAAAUUUUAUUAUAUUUUGUUGGGGUGAUAAUAAAAUUUUACAAUCUUUUAUUAUUUUUAAACAAUGAUUUUUGAAUAAUUGAUCCAAUUUUAUUGAUUAAAAGAUUAAAUUACCUUAGGGAUAACAGCGUAAUUUUUUUUAGAGUUCUUAUCGAUAAAAAU